rnacentral:lncRNA from 1 species
AAUUAUAUUAUAGAUUUAAGUGCUAUGCAAAAUACUUUACUUAUCUGUAUAUAUUUUGUACUAAUAGAGACCUUAGUCCAAUUGAAAGAAUGUGAAAAAACACAAAAUAAAAUAUGCUACUGUUGUUUUUUUUAAGCACACAAACUGUUCAUAUUCUAAAAACAUAAACAUAUAUAUAUGAAGAUGUGGUAUGAGUGCUAAUGAGACAACUAUCCAUCGAAAUAAUAAUUUAUAAAAGUAAACCACUAUGGUAAAUGUACGGCCUUCAACACGGAGCCUUGGCUCACACCGAACAACAAGCUAUAAAGGGUCCCAAAAUUACUGGUGUAAAACAAUUCAAACGGGAAAACCAAGGGUCUAAUCUAUAUAAAAACGAAAAACGAGAAACACGUAUAAAAUUACAUAAACAAACGACAACUACCCUACAUCAGAUUCCUGACUUAGGACAGGUGCAAACAUUUGCAGCGGGAUUAAACGUUUUAAUGGUACCAA